rnacentral:rRNA from 1 species
CAGUAGCCACGGGAAUACGGAGGGAGCUAGCGUUGUUCGGAAUUACUGGGCGUAAAGCGCGCGUAGGCGGUUACUCAAGUCAGAGGUGAAAGCCCGGGGCUCAACCCCGGAACUGCCUUUGAAACUAGGUGACUAGAAUCUUGGAGAGGUCAGCGGAAUUCCGAGUGUAGAGGUGAAAUUCGUAGAUAUUCGGAAGAACACCAGUGGCGAAGGCGACUGACUGGACAAGUAUUGACGCUGAGGUGCGAAAGCGUGGGGAGCAAACAGGAUUAGAUACCCGGGUAGUCCCUGUCUCUUAUAC